rnacentral:sRNA from 1 species
GUUGGGUGUGGUGGCAUAUGCCUAUAAUCCCAGCAUCUUGGAGGUUGAGGCAAGAGGGUCGCAAGUUCAAGGCCAGCCUCAGCAAUUUAUUGAGGCUCUAAGUAUCUUAGUGACAUCCUGUCUCCA